UCGGGAAUUUUGGGCAAUGGGCGAAAGCCUGACCCAGCAACGCCGCGUGAAGGAUGAAGUAUUUCGGUAUGUAAACUUCGAAAGAAUAGGAAGAAUAAAUGACGGUACUAUUUAUAAGGUCCGGCUAACUACGUGCCAGCAGCCGCGGUAAUACGUAGGGACCAAGCGUUGUUCGGAUUUACUGGGCGUAAAGGGCGCGUAGGCGGCAUGACAAGUCACUUGUGAAAUCUCUGGGCUUAACCCAGAACGGCCAAGUGAUACUGUCGCGCUAGAGUGCAGAAGGGGCAAUCGGAAUUCUUGGUGUAGCGGUGAAAUGCGUAGAUAUCAAGAGGAACACCUGAGGUGAAGACGGGUUGCUGGGCUGACACUGACGCUGAGGCGCGAAAGCCAGGGGAGCAAACGGGAUUAGAUACCCCCGUAGUCCCUGAGCGGGC
rnacentral:rRNA from 1 species